GAAGGGCAUCAAGGGACGACUGA
rnacentral:piRNA from 1 species